rnacentral:rRNA from 1 species
GACGAACGCUGGCGGCGGGCUUAACACAUGCAAGUCGAACGGAAAGGCCCUGCUGGUGAGGGGUGCUCGGGUGGCGAACGGGUAAGUAGCGCGUAAGUUACCUGCCUUUGACGUUGGGAUAACUUCAGGAAACUGGGGCUAAUACCAGUUAAGAGCUCCUCCUGCAUGAUGGUGGUUAACAAGGUUCGGCGGAUGGGGAUGCGCUCGCGGCUUAUCAGCUUGUGGGUGGGGUAGUUGCUUACCAAGGCAUUGACGGGGAUCCGGCCUGAGAGGGUGACCGGCCAAAUUGGCACUGAGCUACGGCCGACACUCCUACGGGAGGUAGCAGUGGGGAAUAGUGCACGAUGGGCGGAACCCUCAUGCAGCAACGCCGCGCGCUGGAUGACGGCCUUCGGGUGGUAAGCCGCAUUCGCAUCCGACGAAGCGUGAGUGACGGUAAUGUGUAAAGAAGCACCGGCUAACUCCGUG